GCCUCGGUGGUGUAGUGGUCAAGACGCUCGCCUGGUAAUCAGGAGGGCGUGGGUUCCAUCCCGGCCGAGGUA
rnacentral:tRNA from 1 species